UGGGGAAUCUUGCACAAUGGGGGCAACCCUGAUGCAGCGACGCCGCGUGAGCGAUGAAGCCCUUCGGGGUGUAAAGCUCUUUCGGCAGGGAAGAUUAUGACGGUACCUGCAGAAGCAGCUGCGGCUAACUACGUGCCAGCAGCCGCGGUAAUACGUAGGCAGCGAGCGUUGUUCGGAGUUACUGGGCGUAAAGGGUGUGUAGGCGGUUUUCUAAGUCUGGUGUGAAAUCUCCCGGCUCAACUGGGAGGGUGCGCCGAAAACUGGAAGGCUAGAGUGCGGGAUGGGUAAGUGGAAUUCCUGGUGUAGCGGUGAAAUGCGUAGAUAUCAGGAGGAACACCUGUGGUGUAGACGGCUUACUGGACCGCAACUGACGCUGAAACACGAAAGCGUGGGUAGCAAACAG
rnacentral:rRNA from 1 species